GAUGAACGCUGGCGGCGUGCUUAACACAUGCAAGUCGAGCGAAGCACUCUGAUUACUUCGGUUUGAGGAGUGACUGAGCGGCGGACGGGUGAGUAACGCGUGGGUAACCUGCCUCACACAGGGGGAUAACAGUUAGAAAUGACUGCUAAUACCGCAUAAGACCACAGCACCGCAUGGUGCAGGGGUAAAAACUCCGGUGGUGUGAGAUGGACCCGCGUCUGAUUAGCUAGUUGGUGAGGUAACGGCUCACCAAGGCGACGAUCAGUAGCCGACCUGAGAGGGUGACCGGCCACAUUGGGACUGAGACACGGCCCAAACGCCUACGGGAGGCAGCAGUGGGGAAUAUUGCACAAUGGGCGAAAGCCUGAUGCAGCGACGCCGCGUGAAGGAUGAAGUAUUUCGGUAUGUAAACUUCUAUCAGCAGGGAAGAAAAUGACGGUACCUGACUAAGAAGCCCCGGCUAACUACGUGCCAGCAGCCGCAGUAAAAC
rnacentral:rRNA from 1 species